UACGUAGGGUCCGAGCGUUGUCCGGAAUUAUUGGGCGUAAAGCGCGCGCAGGUGGUUUCUUAAGUCUGAUGUGAAAGCCCACGGCUCAACCGUGGAGGGUCAUUGGAAACUGGGAGACUUGAGUGCAGAAGAGGAAAGUGGAAUUCCAUGUGUAGAGGUGGAAUUCGUAGAUAUUAGGAAGAACACCAGUGGCGAAGGCGGCUCACUGGUCCGGUAACUGGACGCUGAGGUGCGAAAGCGUGGGGAGCAAACAGG
rnacentral:rRNA from 1 species